UACGUAGGCAGCGAGCGUUGUUCGGAGUUACUGGGCGUAAAGGGUGUGUAGGCGGUUUCUUAAGUUUGGUGUGAAAUCUCCCGGCUUAACUGGGAGGGUGAGCCGAAUACUGAGAGGCUCGAGUGCGGGAGAGGAGAGUGGAAUUCCUGGUGUAGCGGUGAAAUGCGUAGAUAUCAGGAGGAACACCGGUGGUGUAGACGGCUCUCUGGACCGUAACUGACGCUGAGACACGAAAGCGUGGGUAGCAAACAGG
rnacentral:rRNA from 1 species